rnacentral:lncRNA from 1 species
AAAGAGUUGCAUUGUUUGAAAUGAAGUUGCGUUGUUUGAGAGUAAUUAAAGUUGCACUAUUUAUAAGUUAUAACUAUUUGAAACUAAAUUAUAUCACAUAAAAUAAAAGUUGUAACUAAGACUAAGUUGUACUAUUUAAGAUUUUAAUUGCACCGUUAUUUGAGACUAAAUUGCAUUCUCUCAAAUAAUGCAACUUAAGUUUCAAACAGUGCAUUGAUCUUAUAUUUUUAUUGUUCAACUUAAUUAGUCUCAUAGUCUCAAAGAAUACAAUUUCGUCUCAAAUAUUACAACCUUCUUUUCUUUUUUUUCCCUCUACUUUUUGACUUUUUCUAUAGCAACCGCUGCACAUGAUUGUCUUUUUAGAAGAUAAAAUUUGUAAUAUUUCUUUAUUAUUUUUUUCCUUUUUUUCCCUUCUUUUUUCUUCUUCUCUCUGCAUCAAUUUUUGCUACAGUGCCCUCUCCUGUGCCCUUGUCCUGACGUGCUCUUCCUUCUCGUUGUUCUCAAAUUUUACGCCUCACUCAUCAUCAUCGUCGUUGCUGUGCACGGCCACGCUCUUUGCCAUAGCUUCACCUCCGCAAACUGUACCAUAUUCGAGUCGGUAUUGCCGUCGUCGAAUGUCGACGAAAGUAUAAGCGAGAUAGAAAAGAGGAGCACAGCGUCGAUGUUGGGAUGGUGGAGGAGGAAGAGGAGGAGGAGGAGGAGGAGGAGGAGCAGCAGCGAGAGAAAAUAUGAGGAGAAAGAGACAAAAAGAUGAAAAGGAGGGAGCUAGACUAAAGAGCCGAAAAAAUAAACAAGAAAGAAAGGAAAGAGAAAGAGAAAUGAGAAUAUUUUGGUCGGACUAAAAAUUUCAAUCUAAUCUGUGAAAUUUAAGAAAGUGGCAUAAUUUUGUAAAAAUGUACAAUUGAUGAACUUUUUAUGCAAAUUAGCCUAAAAAAUUAGUAUCGUCUUUUUAUAAAAGCGGAAUAUAUAUUUUGGCCAUGUUUGUCCAUCUUUACGUGAUGGGAAACAAAUUAACAUAUAUAUAUAUAUAUAUAUAUAUAUAUAUAUAUAUAUAUAUAUAUAUAUAUAUAUAUAUAUAUAUAUAUAUAUAUAUAUAGUGGGUCAACUAUGCUUUCGAAAGUAUCGGGACUUUCGUACUUGUAAGUUAUUUUCGAUGAUAGGACAUCCGAUUUGACGAUCGGCUCCAUUAGGUAUAAUCUACUCUAUUGGAACUAUUUAGAAACCAAAUUUUAUAAUUUUUUGACAUCAUUUACUCAACGAUCAAAAGGUCCCAAAAAUGACUAUUUUAAUGGCCGAUGUGGCACGUUUUUAAGUUCAACAAUGUAGAAAUAUCCAAAUUAUAUGAAAAUUUAAUAGAAAAUUCUACUUAACGUCAAUAGUAAGAUCAAUAUUUUCAAUUUGAAAUUUGAGUCAUUUAUCAUUAUUUUUUAUUAGAUUUUUAUUUUCAGCCGUUCAUUUUGAGGUUACUCGUUCACUAGGCAAAUUGAGUUAAAAAAUUAUGAAAUUUGGUUUCUAGAUAGUUCCAAUAGCGUAAAUCAUGUCUAACGAAACCGAUCGCCAAAUCGGACGUCCCAUCAUCGAAAACAACUUACAAGUACGGAGG